rnacentral:rRNA from 1 species
UACGUAGGGGGCGAGCGUUGUCCGGAGUUACUGGGCGUAAAGGGCAUGCAGGCGGUCGGACGCGUUUCGGGUGACAGCGGGUGGCUUAACUACCCGAGUGGUCGAAAGACGGUUUGACUUGAGGACGCGAGAGGGACACGGAAUUCCGGGUGGAGUGGUGAAAUGCGUAGAGAUGGGGGAGAACACUCGUGGCGAAGGCGGCCAGCUAGACCAGUUCUGACACUGAGGCGCGACAGCGUGGGGAGCAAACAGG